AUACGGUGGAUACGGAGGAGACGGUGAUCAUCAGCAAUUCAUUUCCCCGGGCACUCCUUACGUUCAUCAAAACAAUUCGGACGUUGGAGGAUAUGGUGGUUAUGGUGGAUAUGGUAGAUAUGGUGGUGAAGCACCUCCCAUUCUGGACAGUCCGUACUUAAAAAAGACGGUUUUCAACUCCUUAGAUGAACUAAAGAAACGGAUACAAGAAAUAGCAAACGCGGAUGGUUUCGUUAUUGUCACCCGUCGAUCAAAGAAAAUCGGGGGAAGAACCGGGAGGGUAUGGCUUGAAUGUGAUCGUGGUGGUGAGCACCAGAGUACAGCAACACUUAGAAAAGCUGGAAGCAAAAAAACCGGUUGCCCGUUUUACCUGCUGGCUGUCCGAAACCACCCGUAUGAAACCUGGGAGAUAAAAGACGGAACAAUU